rnacentral:rRNA from 1 species
GAUAAACGCUGGCGGCGUGCAUAACACAUGCAAGUCGAACGAAGUGGCGAACGGGUGAGUAACACGUGAGUAACCUGCCUUACACAAGGGGAUAGCCUUUGGAAACGAAGAAUAAUACCCUAUAGUGUAAGAUGGACUUGCGUCUGAUUAGCUAGUUGGUGAGAUAAGGGCCCACCAAGGCAACGAUCAGUAGCCGGCUUGAGAGGGUGACCGGCGACAUUUGGACUGAGAAACGGCCCAGACUCUACGGGAGGCAGCAGUGGGGGAUAUUGCACAAUGGGCGAAAGCCUGAUGCAGCGACGCCGCGUGGGGGAGAAGGCUUUCGGGUUGUAAACCUCUUCGCUAUCGAACACUAUAGGGUGGGUUGAGGGUAGGUGGAGAAGAAGCGCCGGCUAACUACGUGCCAGCCGCCGCGGUAAUUC